GGAAUUGAUUGGCAAUUGCACACACCUUAUAGACCGCAGUCGAGCGGACAGAUGGAAAAACGAAUCACCUGAUCAAAUUACAGAUAGGAAAACUUGGCCAAGAGGCUGGGAUUCCCUGGCCGCAGGCACUGCCUUUGGCACUUCUGAGAAUUCGGACUAAACCCCGAAGCAAGGAAGGAUGAAGCCCAGAGGAGAUUCUAUAUGGGCAACCUUAUCCUGUACAAAAGGAAAUCUCUAUGCAGGUGCGGGAGGAGGUGUUAAGAGAUGGUCAGCUUGGUGACGCAGUUAAAGAAAAUUGAACAAACAGGAUUCGAUGCCAGGGCACAAGGCCUAGACGCUCCAGUGCACCAUGUAUUGCCAGGCGACCGUGUUUACGUUCAAUCUCCCUCAGAUGUACCGCUGGAACCAAAGUGGGAAGGACCCUACCAACUUCUCCUCACCACCCACACCACGGCCAAGGUAGAGGAGCUUACACCGUGGAUACAUCAUACCUGCCUGAAGACCCCAGCUGGGAAGGAGAUUUAGGGAACUUGCUUACUAGCUGGCUACUGAAUCUAGGAUGGUUAAAGCAGCUCUUCCUAGUUUGCAUCCUCUUGGUGCUGUUGGGAGGUUUUACCUGUGUCAUGAUGAGAUGCUCUGCCUGCCUGUGCCGGAGUACUAGAAAGAAAAAGGAGAUAUGGAAGAGACAUGUGUUGAGGCCAAAGGUGGGAAGUGGGGCCUAUUUGGGGACACGUAGAACAGAAUCAAAAUGAUCUAGCAGGUAGAAGCCCUGCUAGACUAUAGAAAAGGGGGGAACUGAAGUGUGAGAACAGGAGCCUGCAGUUAGAGAGAGAAGGGCCUCACAGCAAGAAAAGGGAAAGUAGCUGCACAAACUAGAAAUAAGAGGCAAAUAGAGUUUACGUAGGGAGUGCUAGAAAACAAGGGAUUCCAAGCACUUUCACAGACACUAGGUCAGGAAUAACAGGGAGGAUGAAGGCCAUCGAGAUAAGGGCUGGAGAGCAGCUCGAAAACACGUGGCAGGGAGCUGAUUAGAUGUCUACAGGGCAAGCUGAAACCUUUUCGGGGGAUGCCCCCCCUUCGGGGUCACAAGUGUGCAAUGAGGAAGACUACGAGCCUUCGCGAGGAAGACUACAAGCCUUCAUCAUCACGACCUUCUACGCACUCGCAAAAGGGGAAGGGACUGCAUGCUAAUGGGCUCUCUGGAAUGUAAUGAAUAGGUCUCCGAAUUCC
ensembl:lncRNA